GUGACAGCCGCCGCGGUAAUACGGGGGGAGCAAGCGUUGUUCGGAAUUAUUGGGCGUAAAGGGCAUGUAGGCGGUUUUGUAAGCCUGGUGUGAAAUCCUGCGGCUUAGCUGUAGAAUUGCAUCGGGUACUGCAAGACUUGAAUCACAGAGGGGAAACUAGAAUUCCAGGUGUAGGGGUGGAAUCUGUAGAUAUCUGGAAGAAUACCGGUGGCGAAGGCGGGUUUCUAGCUGAUGAUUGACGCUGAGGUGCGAAAGUGCGGGGAGCAAACAGGAUUAGAAACCCCUGUAGUCC
rnacentral:rRNA from 1 species